rnacentral:rRNA from 1 species
GAUGAGCGCUGGCGGCGUGCCUAAUACAUGCAAGUCGAACGGGGAGUAGCAAUACUCUUAGUGGCGAACGGGUGAGUAACGCGUUGGUACCUGCCCCGAAGCGGGGGAUAACGGACCGAAAGGUCCGCUAAUACCCCAUGUGCUCGGUAACGAGUAAAGGUGAAAACCACUUUGGGAGGGGCAUGCGUCCCAUCAGCUAGUUGGUAAGGUAACGGCUUACCAAGGCGAUGACGGGUAGGGGACCUGAGAGGGUGGCCCCCCACAAUGGAACUGAAACACGGUCCAUACACCUACGGGUGGCAGCAGUAGGGAAUAUUGGUAAUGGGCGCAAGCCUGAACCAGCAACGCCGCGUGUGCGAUGACGGCCUUCGGGUUGUAAAGCACUUUUGACUGGGACGAGGAAGGACGGUACCGGUCGAAUCAGCCUCGGCUAACUACGUG